UACGAAGGGUGCAAACGUUGCUCGGAAUUAUUGGGCGUAAAGAGCUCGUAGGCGGUUUGUCGCGUCUGCCGUGAAAGUCCGGGGCUCAACUCCGGAUCUGCGGUGGGUACGGGCAGACUAGAGUGAUGUAGGGGAGACUGGAAUUCCUGGUGUAGCGGUGAAAUGCGCAGAUAUUAGGAGGAACACCGAUGGCGAAGGCAGGUCUCUGGGCAUUAACUGACGCUGAGGAGCGAAAGCAUGGGGAGCGAACAGG
rnacentral:rRNA from 1 species